rnacentral:lncRNA from 1 species
UUUACUGUUUUUUUUUUCCUUUUUAAUCUUUGGAUCGAAUCAUUGCUUAGUUCUUGCUUAAUUUCUCCAUUUUAUGGUGGGUCUUUGAUUGCAGGUUUAGCUCUGCGCGAGAACUGGGAAAUUUAAUUGUGACCUCCAAUCUAAUCGACUCUGCUUUGACUAAAAUUCUUGAGCUUCAAAGAGACCAAACAGCCUUGCCUUCCCCCGUUCAAUACAGAGUUUUUUAUCCAUCUCCCAAGUGCACAAUUGUAGCUUUUGUCUCUUCACCUGACUGCACUCAAAACCCUCUUCCUGGACAAGGAGAUUUAGUUCCCUCUCCUCUCUUUGACUUCCUCUGCACCGAAGAAUACCCUUCCGUCUCCAUUAACGGAGCCGCAUUAACCCUCUUUACCUCUCUCUACGAUCAUCUCUCUGGACUAAUAGAUGAGGUCAAAAUCUGAUACUUGUUUUAAUUUACGUUAACUUUUCGUUAACAAUUGUGAGACACGAAACAGCUUGACCAUGAGAUCUCCCUCAUGGAGUCAAAACCCGUGUUGGUAUCUGUUUUUAGAUCAACUUAUAUAUAUAUAUAUAUAUAUAUAUAUAUAUCUUGUGGAUAAAAGGAAAGUUUACAAGUGAGAAUAGUGGCAUUUUUCUGACAGAUUUCACACCGUUGCUUGUUUUGCAGUUGACUGUGAUUGAAGGUCGAUUAAUCAUCACUGGGCACUCGAUGGGAGGAUCCGUUGCUUCUCUCUUCACCUUAUGCCUGCUAGAAGUCAUUAAUAUAUCAAAACCCAAAUGCCGCCCCAUUUGCAUCACCUUUGGUUCACCCCUCAUAGGCGACUUUGGCCUCCAACACUCCAAUUGGAAUUCUUUCUUCUUGCAUGUAGUGUCCAACCAAGAUCUAGUCCCCGGACUCUUCCUCCCAUCCGGCAGAUCUCCUCCCACAUCCUCCCAUUCACAAACUACUGGUUACAAGCCCUUUGGGACAUAUCUCUUGUGCUCUGAACUUGGUUGUGCUUGUUUUGACAACCCUGAUUUAAUUUUGGAAUUGCUGAAAGUCAUAUCAUCAGAGGUUGCCGGAGGAUUGCGGGAUGUUGAUUACAGGAAGAUUUUAAUAAACCUCAAGGAGAGGGCAAUCUUCAAGGGACUUCAGCAGGUGGGUGAAAGGUUUGCAGAUCCCUUGUCAGCUGGGAUCGUCAUGGACCUUGAGAUAAUUGGAUUUGAUCAAACAAAGGUAAACAGCUUUCUCCCAAUUAAUGAUGUAGUAUGGUUUACACUCAACUUCACCAAAACCUGCAACAACUGCCCUAUUUAGAUUUGCCUUCCUGUUCUUUGGGUUCUUCUAUAACUUCUCAUUUUUUAAAUUCAUGGCAGCUGUUGCGGCACAACAUUGAUAUCAACACUGUGAUAAGGAUACUGGGAGUGGAAGCCAGAAUCCUAGCCCACAAAAAUAAAGCUUCUGAUGCCAAGAAACUGAAUGACAUAAAAAUACACAUGGCCCAGCUAGAAUGGUAUAAGAAGAAAUCAAAAGAUCUGAACAAGGGUUACUACGACUGCUUCAAAAACCAGGGGUCAAAAAGGGACAUUAAAAUUGAACAGUAUAGGGGACACCUCACAAUAUACUGGAAAGACAUGGUUGCACAAGUACAGAGGAAGCCCCAGAAGGAAGGAGCAUCAUUUCGAACCAGUUGGCUCUAUCCAGGGACAACUUAUAGAAGAAUGGUUGAACCACUGGACAUUGCUGCCUUCUACAGAGAGGGUAGAACAGACUACAUAAACAAUGGAAGAUCUCCUCAUUACAAGCUGUUGCAGCAAUGGUAUGAGGAAGAUGUGAAGCCCCCAUCCAGAGAUAAGCUCGAUUCCAAGAAACUAAAGGUGUCUGGUAUCCUAACUGAGGAUUCUUUGUUUUGGGCACAUGUGGAGGAGGCUCUCUUGUCAUGCGAAUCGCUCAAGAGUGCAAACUCUACUCUUGAGCAGAGAAAAUCAUCAUGGGAUAAUCUGGUUAAGUUUGGGGAGUAUGUAAUGGAACAGAUUGGAAACUAUGCAGUGUCCCCUGAGAUUUUCUUGGGGGAAAGCAGCUUCAUGAAAUGGUGGGGAGUGUAUGAGGACUACAUAGAUGCUUCCAAUAAUUCCUAUGGGUCACCAUUGAUCAGCUUUAUGAAGAACCGUAGUUAUAGACUGUAUGGUUAGAGGGCAAUCCAGUUUGUGUAUUGUGUUUAUUGUAUUGUGAGCAUUCAAUAGAUAAAACUAGAAAGAGCGUGACCUUUUUAUGACAACUUUAGAAACCAGGGGUUAAAAGAGACAUUACAAACUGAAGUUUUUGAGAGGAAACCUCAAGAGUAUACUGGGAAGCCAUGGUGGAACAAGUAGAGAGGAAGCCUCAGAAGGAAGGAGCAAUGGUUGAACCACUUGACAUUGUUGCCUACUACAGGGAGGGUGUAAGAAACAACAUAACCGAGGGAAGAUCUGAACGUUAAACGUUGUCCAAUUAUUAUAAAUGUCUUAUACAUUACGUGUGAAAAUACCAAAAAAAAUUAUAUUCAACAUUUAUGUUUGUAUACAAGCAAUAUUUUGGAUAGUUUGAUAUAAAAAACAAAUGAAGAAAAUGAAGAAAAACAUACAAAUAUAUUUACAAUGGACAAACUUAUACAAUUAGUAUAAAUGUCUUGUAUAUUUAGUACAAAUGUCUCGUACUUUGUAAAAAUAUAAAAAUAUAGUAUUUGACUUUUAUAUAUGUGUGAAAAUGUAAAAAGAAAAAGAAAAAUAGUUAGAGCAUUUGGUACCGUGAGUGAUGACUUCACCUAAAGAAAGGUUAAUGAAUAUUAUGGUCUCGAUGGAAGAGCGACUCCGGUAAAAUAUAUGGAUUAAAUUGAUGCUUUUCUUUUGACGAUGAAGUAGUUGAGUUAUGAAUACGAGGUUUUGCUAACAGCAUUGAAGGCAAGGAUUCCCUAAUAUACUCCAAUUCAUAUUCAAUUUGUAGACCUUCAACUAACUACUCUUGCUAACGAGCAUAUCCAAGUCAAUACAUAAGAUUAAUUAAGAUUAAGUAUUACGUAUGAUAAUUGAAACCCUAUUUAAAUAAAUAAUGACACAUAUAUAAAAAAUAUAUAUAUUUUUAAAAAAAUAAAUAACAAUUUAGAGAAUUUCAUAACUUAGCAUCAAACCUAUUGUAAGAAAGAGUAUUAUACAAUGUAGGGUUUAGGAUCCAAGUCAACCUAAGAUCAAAUUUAAGUUUUAAGAUCAAUUCACAUUCAAAACUAAGGUUUUAAGUUUCAAAAAUAUAUUUCUUAAACCAAUUAAAUGGAAAAAAGAAAAUUACAAAGAAAAUUUCUCCCUCAUCAGUUUCUUUUAUCUUGAAAACUAAAGGAAAUAUAUAUCAAUAUUUGAGAUGGAAAUUCAUAAUCUUAGGUGGUGUUUGUUUUUUUGGCUUUUUGCUGAAAACUAUUUAGUUUUAGAAUUUAGGUUUUUUUUUUUUUUUACUUUUUCAUGACUUAUAAUAAACUUUUUACUAAAUAGAAAAAACCAAAAUAUGUGGUUUUUUCUAAAUAGAAAAAAUAACACAAUGGUUUUUUUUACUUUUUAAUACUUAAUAGAAAUAAAAUACUACAAAAACAAACAUCUUAAUAUUUAAUACUAUUAAGUAUUAAGGUUCUAUUUAGAAUUAAGUAAAAAAACAAACACCACCUUAGAAACACAAAGAACAAAGAGAGUAUGAAGAGACCAUACCAUGAGAGAUUUUCCGAAAGGUUGGUAAACCAUGGUAAUCACCUUUGAGUCUUGCUGAGAAAAACAAACCUUAUUUAUUUUUAUUUUUUUAUCAUUUUUUCUCUUGUGUGGUGUACAUUUAAGAAAAACAAAUCUCAAAAAAAAAAAAAAACACAAACCAAAUAAUGCCAGAAUUUGGGUUGAGAAACACCCAAAAGAUAGUGGCCCAAUACAUGUGCCUAAGAAAAUCUUCAUGAGCCGAUAAACAUAGUCACAAAACUAGUAACAGCCUUGUAGCCAUAGUUGGUGUAGUAUGAGCAAGUGGGGUAUGAAGUAGGUAGGUGAGUAUUGCAAUGAAAUUUCCAGCACUGCUUCCUGAAUUAAGAAAUCACAUACCCAAGUCUUAGUCGUCGUCGUCGUCGUACCGUGUGAGAACCGGGAAGAAUCUUUGCUCGUAGACUGGCUUUUGUAGUCUUUCUUUAACAAUUACAAGUUAUCUGAAUUCCCUUCAUCCUCCUAUAUAAUAUUGUUUUGGUCUUGUUCUUGUUGCAUUGUGGCUAGGCAUCUCCAUGGAAGGAAGGAGGAUGAAUCAAGUUCCUUUGUAUGAAUCAAUUUCUCUGCUCUUUUUUUUUUUCAAUCCUUGAAUCGAAUCAUUGCUUAGUUCUUGCUUUAAUUUCUCCAUUUUCUGUUGGGUCUUUGAUUGCAGGUUUAGCUCUGCAAGAGAACUGGGAAAUUUAAUUGUGACCUCCAAUCUAAUCGACUCUGCUUUGACUAAAAUUCUUGAGCUUCAAAGAGACCAAACAGCCUUGCUUUCCCCCGUUCAAUACAGAGUUUUUUUAUCCAUCUCCCAACUGCACAAUUGUAGCUUUUGUCUCUUCACCUGACUGCACUCAAAACCCUCUUCCUGGACAAGGAGAUUUAGUUCCCUCUCCUCUCUUUGACUUCCUCUGCACCGAAGAAUACAAGUCCGUCUCCAUUAACAGAGCUGCAUUAACCCUCUUUACCUCUCUCCACGAUCAUCUCUCUGGACUAAAAACUCAGGUCAAAAUAUGAUAGUUGUUUUUAUUUUCGUUUCCUUUUUGUUAACAAUUGUGAGACAUGAAACAGCUUGACCAUGAGAUCUCUCUCAUAGAGUCAAACUACCUGAAGAAGAAGAAGACGUUACACAUAUCCAUCUGCGUUGCAUCAUCGCAUUACCCAUUGAUCGGUUGUGAUUCAACUCUUAAUAGGAAGACAGUAGAACUGGUGUUGGUAUCUGUUUUUAGAUCAGCUUAUAUGUAUCUUGUUGCUAAAAAGGGAAUGUUUAGAAGUGAGAUUAAUGGGAUUAUUCUGACAUGGAUUUCAUAUGGUUACCUGUUUUGCAGUUGACUGUGAUUGAAGGUCAAUUAAUCAUCACUGGGCACUCCCUGGGAGGAGCCGUUGCUUCUCUCUUCACCUUAUGCCUGCUAGAUGAAAAUUUAUUAAAACCCAAAUGCCGCCCCUUUUGUAUCACCUUUGGUUCACCCCUCGUCGGCGGCUUUGGCCUCCAACACUCCAUAUGGAAUUCUUUCUUCCUGCAUGUAGUGUCUAACCAAGACCCAGUCCCCGGUCUCUUCCUCCCAUCUGGCAGAGGCAGAUCUACGCCCACAUCCUCCCAUUCACAAACUACCGGUUACAAGCCCUUUGGGACAUAUCUCUUGUGCUCUGAACUUGGUUGUGCUUGUUUUGACAACCCUGAUUUAAUUUUGGAAUUGCUGAAAGUCAUAUCAUCAGAGGUUGCCGGAGGAUUGCAGGAUGUUGAUUAUGGGGAGAUUUUAAGAAACCUCAAGGAGAGGGCAAUCUGCAAGGGACUUCCGCAGGUGGGUGAAAGGUUUGCAAAUCCAUUUUCAGCUGGGAUCAUCAUGGAACUUGAGACAAUUGGAUUUAAUCAAACAAAGGUAAACAGCUUUCUCCCAUCUAAUGAUGUUAUGGAACAUGGUUUACACCUCAUUAAAUACUGCAACAACUGCCCUAUUUAGAUUUACCUUCUUGUUCUUUGGGAUUUUCCAUAACUAGACUCAUUUUUUAAUUUCAUGGCAGCUGCUGCAGCAUAACAUUGAUAUCGAGACUGUGAUAAGCGCAAUGGAAGCGGAAGCAAGAAACCUAACCCAGAAAAAUAAAGCUUCCGAUGCCAAGAAACUGAAUGAAAUAAAAAUAGACAUGACCCGGCUAGAAUUGUAUAAGAAGAAUUCGAACAUGGGUUACUACGAUUGCUUCAAAAACCAGGGGUCUAAAAGGGACAUCCACGUUGAACAGUUUAGGGUAAACCUCACAGGGUACUGGGAAGGCAUGGUUGCACAAAUACAGAGGAAGCCUCAUAAGGAAGGAGCAACAUUUCGAACCCGUUGGCUCUAUGCAGGGACGGUUUAUAGAAGAAUGGUUGAACCACUGGACAUUGCUGCCUUCUACAGAGAGGGUAGAAAAGACUACAUGAAUAAAAGAUCUGCACAUUACAAGCUGUUGCAGGAAUGGUAUGAGGAAGAUGUGAAACCCCCCUCUAGAGAUAAGCUUGAUUCCAAGAAGCAAAAGGUGUCCAGUAUCCUAACUGAGGAUUCUUGCUUUUGGGCACAUGUGGAGGAGGCUAUCUUGUCAUGCGAAUUGCUCAAGAGUGAAAACUGUAAUCUUGAGGAGGGAAAAUCAUCAUGGGAUAAUCUGGUUAAGUUCGAGGAGUAUGUAAUGGAACAGAUUGACAACUAUGCAGUGUCCCCUGAGAUUUUCUUGGAGAAAAGCAGCUUCAUGAAAUGGAGGGGACUGUAUGAGGGCUACAUAGAUACUCGCAGUAAUUCCCAUAGCUCGCCAUUGAUCAGCUUUAUGAAGAAUCGUAGUUAUAGACAAUAUGGAUAGAGGGGUAAUCCAGUUUGUGUGUUGUGUGUAUUGUUUUGUGAGCAUUCAAUGGAUAGAACUAGAAAGAGUGUGACCUUUUCCUUUUUUUUUUCAGUUGCUGCCCAUAUUCUCAGCACUAUUUUCUUCCUUCUUUUCCUCAGUUUUUUUGUUAAGAAAUGAAUAUUAUGAUGUUGCCGGGAUGCACUUUCAUUUUUGUUCCAUUACAUUGUGUUUUAUUCAUAUCCUAAACAAAUAAAUGUAAACAAGAAAAUCAAAUGAGACUUCAAAGAGUCUGUUCCUUUUAAAGCAAGGGAAAAAAAGGACAUGUUUGUUUACUUCCACAGCUGGGUAGAUUCAACUCCACCAAAAUUGGCAACAACUUCCCAUUGAAAAAUUCCUUUUAAGCUUGAAUGACAUAAAACUAGAUAUGUUCCAGCUAGAAUGGUACAAGAAAGAAAUCAAAAGAUGAGCACAAUGGGUUAUUAUGACAGCUUUAGAAACCUGGGGUGUAAAAGAGACAUUAAAAUGGAACCGAGGGGAAGACAUUGUAGAACAAGUAAAGAGGAAGCCUCACCAGGAAGGGCAGCUUUGCAAACCCUCUGGCUCUGUACAGGAACGAAUUAUAGAAAGAUGGUUGAACCACUUGACAUUGCUGCCUACCACAGAGAGGGUGGAAGAAACUACAUAACCAAUGGAGGAUGUAAACAUUACACGCUAUUAGAGCAAUGAUGCAAUGAAGAGAAGGGGACUUUGUCUUCCAAUAAUUUAAGAAAAUAAAACCAAAUAAUGCCAGAAUUUGGGUUGAGAAACACCCAAAAGAUAGUGGCCCAAUAUGAAGUAGUCACAAAACUAGUAACAGCCUUGUGGCCAUAGUUGGUGUAGUAUGAGCAAGUGGGGUAUGAAGUAGGUAGGUGAGUAUUGCAAUGAAAUUUCCAGCACUGCUUCCUGAAUUAAGAAAUCACAUACUCAAGUCUUAAUCGUUGUCAUCAUACCGUGUGAGAACCGAGGAAGAAUCUUUGCUCUUAGACUGGAUUUUGUAGUCUUUCUUUAACAAUUACAAGUUAUCUGAAUUCCCUUCAUCCUCCUAUAUAAUAUUGUUUUUGGUCUUGUUCUUGUUGCAUUGUGGCUAGGCAUCUCCAUGGGAGGAAGGAGGAUGAAUCAAGUUCCUUUGUAUGAAUCAAUUUCUCUGCUCUUUUUUUUUUCAAUCCUUGAAUCGAAUCAUUGCUUAGUUCUUGCUUUAAUUUCUCCAUUUUCUGUUGGGUCUUUGAUUGCAGGUUUAGCUCUGCAAGAAAACUGGGAAAUUUAAUUGUGACCUCCAAUCUAAUCGACUCUGCUUUGACUAAAAUUCUUGAGCUUCAAAGAGACCAAACAGCCUUGCCUUCCCCCGUUCAAUACAGAGUUUUUUAUCCAUCUCCCAACUGCACAAUUGUAGCUUUUGUCUCUUCACCUGACUGCACUCAAAACCCUCUUCCUGGACAAGGAGAUUUAGUUCCCUCUCCUCUCUUUGACUUCCUCUGCACCGAAGAAUACAAGUCCGUCUCCAUUAACAGAGCUGCAUUAACCCUCUUUACCUCUCUCCACGAUCAUCUCUCUGGACUAAAAACUCAGGUCAAAAUAUGAUAGUUGUUUUUAUUUUCGUUUCCUUUUUGUUAACAAUUGGGAGACAUGAAACAGCUUGACCAUGAGAUCUCUCUCAUAGAGUCAAACUACCUGAAGAAGAAGAAGACGUUACACAUAUCCAUCUGCGCUGCAUCAUCGCAUUACCCAUUGAUCGGUUGUGAUUCAACUCUUAAUAGGAAGACAGUAGAACUGGUGUUGGUAUCUGUUUUUAGAUCAGCUUAUAUGUAUCUUGUUGCUAAAAAGGGAAUGUUUAGAAGUGAGAUUAAUGGGAUUAUUCUGACAUGGAUUUCAUAUGGUUACCUGUUUUGCAGUUGACUGUGAUUGAAGGUCGAUUAAUCAUUACUGGGUACUCGAUGGGAGGAUCCGUUGCUUCUCUCUUCACCUUAUGCCUGUUAGAAGUCAUCAAUUUAUCAAAACCCAAAUGCCGCCCCAUUUGUAUCACCUUUGGUUCACCCCUCAUAGGCGACUUUGGCCUCCAACACUCCAAUUGGAAUUCUUUCUUCUUGCAUGUAGUGUCCAACCAAGAUCUAGUCCCCGGACUCUUCCUCCCAUCCGACAGAUCUCCUCCCACAUCCUCCCAUUCACAAACUACUGGUUACAAGCCCUUUGGGACAUAUCUCUUGUGCUCUGAACUUGGUUGUGCUUGUUUUGACAACUCUGAUUUAAUUUUGGAAUUGCUGAAAGUCAUAUCAUCAGAGGUUGCCAGAGGAUUGCGGGAUGUUGAUUACAGGAAGAUUUUAAGAAACCUCAAGGAGAGGGCAAUCUGCAAGGGACUUCCGCAGGUGGGUGAAAGGUUUGCAAAUCCAUUUUCAGCUGGGAUCAUCAUGGAACUUGAGACGAUUGGAUUUAAUGAAACAAAGGUAAACAGCUUUCUCCCAUCUACUGAUGUUAUGGAACAUGGUUUACACAUCAUUAAAUACUGCAACAACUGCCCUAUUUAGAUUUAGGGCAAUGAUGAAAAUAUCAGUAAUCACGGAUAUAUCAGUAUUUCGAUUUUACGGAUAUAUCGGAUAUAUCGGAGAUAUAUCGGUAGAUAUUUUGAAAAAAAAUAUCGGCAAGCUUAAAAUUGUUAAAAACUCAUGAAAAUAUAAGAAAAUCUCAUAAUAAUAUAAUUAAAAGUAUAAUAGACAUUUUAAAGUUAUUUUAUUGAAAAUUUUGAUAUAUGUAUAACAUGAUUUAUCAUAUUUGAUAAUAAUAUCGUAUGCGUCGAUAAAAAUAUGAAUUUUAUAAGUGUACAUUUAUUAUUAAAUUACACCUAAUAUUAUGAUAUCUGAUUAUAAUAUGUCUAAUUUUAAAAUAUAUAUUAGUAUUAAAAUAUGAUCCAUUUAAUUCAAUUGUAUUAAACAAUAUAAAAUAAAUAAUGAUAUAUAUAUAUAUAUAUAUAAUUUUUUAAUAUUUAAUUAAUUAUUAAUGAUAUUAAAAACAUUAUGAAGAAAAUUAUAUAAUUUUUUAAUUUUUGGUAAUUAAUUAAAAGACUUUGCAUUUAAUUAUAAAUUAAUUAUAAUUAAUUUACUCUUUAAAAUAUUCUUAUAUUUUCUUUAUAUAAUGAAUUUAAGUAUAUAUAUAGUUGUUGCAUAUUAUAUAUUAAAGGACAACUUAGCCCAAGUGGUAAGCGAGUGAACCCCAAUGUGAGGCAUUGUAGCACGUGCACUGUAGCAUCACUGUAGCGACUCUGACUUUCGUUGACCCGCAUUGACUACACGAUAUAUCGGAGAAAAAUCACUGAUUUAUCGCCAAAUCACCAAUAAAUCGCCGAUUUCUCGCGAUAAAUACCAAAAUAUAGUGUCGAAACCCUUCGAUACACGAUUUUUCGGCGCAUUUUCUUACUUGGAUUUACCUUUUUGUUCUUUGGGAUCUUCCAUGACUCAUUUUUUAAUGCCAUUUUAUUUUCCUUUUUGUUUCUAAAUUUUUAAAAAAUCGUUUUCACUUCUUUUUUUUAAGAAAAUUUUGGCAAAUUUUGAAAAUAUAAUAUUAGUGUUUUCACUUCUUUCUUUUUUUUUUUUUUCUUUUUUUUUUUAAACUCAAUUUUCUAAAAAAUGAAAAUAGAAAAACAUUGUCUAAACAUGUUUGUAAACUUAAUUUUAUUUUUUUAUAAAUGAAAAAAAAAAUCUAAAUGAGUAAGGCUUUAUUAAUUUUAAUUUUUUUCUUUUCCUUAUAUUUUCUUAUUUUAUUCCAAAUUUUCUUGCAACCAAACAUAAUCUAAAUGUUUACAACUUUUAUUGUAAGGAAUGAAUGACACUACUUUGUGAACUUUUAUGAUAAUAUUUUGAAUCAUAAAUUGUGUUUUUUUUAGUAAUAUCAAUUUUAUUACCAAUGACUUAAUUGUUAAUAACAAAAUAUAAUAUUUAUAAAUAUUUUUAUUCUCAACAGGCUACAAUUUUUACUCUUGUGAUAAAAAAAAUUUUGUCAUAAAUUACACAUUAUGAUGAGUUUUUCUAUUUUCCUUAUCAGCCAAUUCAACAAAUAUCAUAUAUAUUGUAAUGGCUAACAAAUUUUCACAUAAAUUUUUUAUAAGAUAAAGUAGAAUGGAAUUAUUCAAUUUCAAAAAAAAAAAAAAUGGUACCUAAUGAAAAAGAUAAAAUAUAUAGAUCAUCUCGAAGAAAUCAGGAAAGAUAAAUGAUGAGACCAUAUAUAGGACCCUUGAUGGAGACUAUUUUAAUUGAAGUGGUGUGCUCCUUCCGACUCAGAACAUGUUCAGCAUUGCACACAAACUAACAUCGUCGAUCUUGAGUAUGAAAAAGGUGAUUAGAUUCCAAGGUUGUCGUUUGUCCCAACUCCUCAUAUUAGAGGUGAUGCUCAAGCUAACGUGCCUCGCAGUUGAGCCCCGGCCAAUCGGUCUAAUAUGCUUUUCCAAUGGUGAGUUUCACUGCCACCAUGUAUUACAUUAAUUCCGAUAGCGCACAAGUUGUGUUUGUGCUAUUGCUUUUUGCCCUCACAAACAUAUACACAAGAGACAUUCAGACCAGAUCUGUUCUACCAUCCUCUAGGAAAGCAUUGUAGGUCAUUUGAAAUUGGGAUUUCAGCACCAGAGUCAAAUUGCCUUCCUUCCUGAAAGAUGAGCAUUUUUUAUACUCUUACAUCGGCUUUUAUGGAAAUGAAAUCAGCUUCUCAUUCUGUUACAUUUUUCAAUUUUGCUGCCUAUAACUGCUCACUGCCUGUUUGUGAGACAUUAUCCAGAUUUUCCCUGAUCAAUUAUAGAGAGGUCAUUGGACUCAUCCAUGAUUGGAAUUUCCUGUUAUCAUUAUUUGCAAAUCAUCAACCAUUUGUCAUGAUAUCUUAAGUUAAGCUGAGCACGAAUUUCAGCUAAGAUCCUCAGAACUAGAAAUAUGCACUGCAGGUAUUACUUGAUAUGUGAAUAUCCAAUACAAUAUUUUUUUACUAAGAGGAAUACGAAUUUGAAACACUUUCCAAUAAUUUAUCAAGUCAUAUUUUCGUGCUGUCGUGAUACAUGUGUCUACUGUAUGCAUGGCUUUUCUUUUCUACACAUGCCUUUAUCUUUGCACAUGACUCUUUUGAUACACGCCAGCAUCAAGGCAAUUGCCUAAAUCUAAAUCACAUCCUUUGUGUCACGUCUUCCUUGUUACCACGGUCCUCUUGUACACCAUGGUCCCUUAAUGUAACUUGUGCCACAAGCCCUUUGUGCAUGAAUUCAAAUUGUUCAAUCAUUUCGCCAUUUACACCUUUUAAGGUCCAAUAAGCGUAUACAAGAGACUACACUCAUUCUAGAUGAUAAAGUACAUUCAACUAACUACUCUUGCUAAUGAGCAUAUCCAAGUCAAUACAUAAGAUUAAUUAUUACAUAUGGUAAUUGAAACCCUGUUUAAAUAAAUAGUGACACAAAUAUAAAAAAUAUAUAUAUUUAAAAAUAAAUAAAUAACAAUUUAGAGAAUUUCAUAACUUAGUAUCAAACCUAUUGUAGGAAAGAGUAUUAUACAAUGUAGGGUUUAGGAUCAAAGUUAACCUAAGAUCAAUUUUAAGUUUUAAGACCAAUUCAAAUUCAAAACUAAGGUUUUAAGUUUCAAAAAUAUAUCUCUUAAACCAAUUAAAUAGAAAAAAGAAAAUUACAAAGAAAAUUUCUUCCUCAUCGGUUUCUUUUAUCUUGAAAACUAAAGGAAAUAUAUAUCAAUAUUUGAGAUGGAAAUUCAUAAUCUUAGAAACACAAAGAACAAAGAGAGUAUGAAGAGACCAUACCAUGAGAGAUUUUCCAAAAGGUUGGUAAACCAUGGUAAUCACCUUUGAGUUUUGCUGAGAAAAACAAACCUUAAUUUUUAUUUUUAUUUUUUUAUCAUUUUUUCUCUUGUGGUGUACAUUUAAGAAAAACAAAUCUUAAAAAAAAAAAAAAAAAAACCAAAUAAUGCCAGAAUUUGGGUUGAGAAACACCCAAAAGAUAGUGGCCCAAUACAUGUGCCUAAGAAAAUCUUCAUGAGCCGAUAAACAUAGUCACAAAACUAGUAACAGCCUUGUAGCCAUAGUUGGUGUAGUAUGAGCAAGUGGGGUAUGAAGUAGGUAGGUGAGUAUUGCAAUGAAAUUUCCAGCACUGCUUCCUGAAUUAAGAAAUCACAUACCCAAGUCUUAGUCGUCGUCGUCGUACCGUGUGAGAACCGGGAAGAAUCUUUGCUCGUAGAGUGGCUUUUGUAGUCUUUCUUUAACAAUUACAAGUUAUCUGAAUUCCCUUCAUCCUCCUAUAUAAUAUUGUUUUUGGUCUUGUUCUUGUUGCAUUGUGGCUAGGCAUCUCCAUGGAAGGAAGGAGGAUGAAUCAAGUUCCUUUGUAUGAAUCAAUUUCUCUGCUCUUUUUCUUUUCAAUCCGUGAAUCGAAUCAUUGCUUAGUUCUUGCUUUAAUUUCUCCAUUUUCUGUUGGGUCUUUGACUGCAGGUUUAGCUCUGCAAGAGAACUGGGAAAUUUAAUGGUGACCUCCAAUCUAAUCGACUCUGCUUUGACUAAAAUUCUUGAGCUUCAAAGAGACCAAACAGCCUUGCUUUCCUCCGUUCAAUACAGAGUUUUUUAUCCAUCUCCCAAGUGCACAAUUGUAGCUUUUGUCUCUUCACCUGACUGCACUCAAAACCCUCUUCCUGGACAAGGAGAUUUAGUUCCGUCUCCUCUCUUUGACUUCCUCUGCACCGAAGAAUACAAGUCCGUCUCCAUUAACAGAGCUGCAUUAACCCUCUUUACCUCUUUCCACGAUCAUCUCUCUGGACUAAAAACUCAGGUCAAAAUAUGAUAGUUGUUUUUAUUUUCGUUUCCUUUUUGUUAACAAUUGUGAGACAUGAAACAGCUUGACCAUGAGAUCUCUCUCAUAGAGUCAAACUACCUGAAGAAGAAGAAGACGUUACACAUAUCCAUCUGCGUUGCAUCAUCGCAUUACCCAUUGAUCGGUUGUGAUUCAACUCUUAAUAGGAAGACAGUAGAACUGGUGUUGGUAUCUGUUUUUAGAUCAGCUUAUAUGUAUCUUGUUUCUAAAAAAGGUAAGUUUAGAAGUGAGAUUAAUGGGAUUAUUCUGACAUGGAUUCCAUAUGGUUACCUGUUUUGCAGUUGACUCAGAUUGAAGGUCAAUUAAUCAUCACUGGGCACUCCCUGGGAGGAUCCGUUGCUUCUCUCUUCACCUUAUGCCUGCUAGAUGGAAAUUUAUUAAAACCCAACUGCCGCCCCUUUUGUAUCACCUUUGGUUCACCCCUCAUCGGCGGCUUUGGCCUCCAACACUCCAUAUGGAAUUCUUUCUUCCUGCAUGUAGUGUCUAACCAAGACCCAGUCCCCGGUCUCUUCCUCCCAUCUGGCAGAGGCAGAUCUACGCCCACAUCCUCCCAUUCACAAACUACCGGUUACAAGCCCUUUGGGACAUAUCUCUUGUGCUCUGAACUUGGUUGUGCUUGUUUGGAAAAGCCUGAUUUAAUUUUGGGAUUGCUGAAAGUCAGAUCAUCCGAGGUUGCCGGAGGAUUGCAGGAUGUUGAUUAUGGGGAGAUUUUAAGAAACCUCAAGGAGAGGGCAAUCUGCAAGGGACUUCAGCAGGUGGGUGAAAGGUUUGCAGAUCCUUUUACAGCUGGGAUCAUCAUGGACCUUGAGAUAAUUGGAUUUGAUCAAACAAAGGUAAACAGCUAGCUUUCUCCCAUCUAAUGAUGUUAUGAAACAUGGUUUACACUUCACCAAAUACUGCAACAACUGCCCUAUUUAGAUUUGCCGUCUUGUUCUUUGGGAUCUUCCAUAACUAGACUCAUUUUUUAAUUUCAUGGCAGCUGCUGCAGCAUAACAUUGAUAUCGAGACUGUGAUAAGCACAAUGGAAGAGGAAGCCAGAAACCCAACCAAAAAAAAUAAAGCUUUCGAUGCCAAGAUUCUGAAUCACAAAAAAAAAGACAUGGCCGGGCUAGAAUGGUAUAAGAAGAAAUCAAAAGAUCUGAACAAGGGUUACUACGACUGCUUCAAAAACCAGGGGUCAAAAAGGGACAUUAAAAUUGAACAGUAUGGGGGACACCUCACAUUAUACUGGAAAGACAUGGUUGCACAAGUACAGAGGAAGCCCCAGAAGGAAGGAGCAACAUUUCGAACCCGUUGGCUCUAUGCAGGGACGGUUUAUAGAAGAAUGGUUGAACCACUGGACAUUGCUGCCUUCUACGUAGAGGGUGGAACAGACUACAUGAAGAAUGAAAGAUCUCUUCAUUACAAGCUGUUGCAGCAAUGGUAUGAGGAAGAUGUGAAACCCCCCUCUAAGGAUAAGCUUGAUUCCAAGAAGCAAAAGGUGUCUGGUAUCCUAACUGAGGAUUCUUGCUUUUGGGCACAUGUGGAGGAGGCUAUCUUGUCAUGCGAAUUGCUUAAGAGUGAAAACUGUACUCUUGAGCAGGAAAAAUCAUCAUGGGAUAAUCUGGUUAAGUUCGAGGAGUAUGUAAUGGAACAGAUUAACAACUAUGCAGUGUCCCCUGAGAUUUUCUUGGGGGAAAGCAGCUUCAUGAAAUGGUGGGGACUGUAUGAGGGCUACAUAUAUGCUCGCAGUAAUUCCCAUAGGUCACCAUUGAUCAGCUUUAUGAAGAACGGUAGUUAUACAGAGUAUCGUUAGAGGGGUAAUCCAGUUUGUGUGUUGUGUGUAUUGUUUUGUGAGCAUUCAAUGGAUAGAACUAGAAAGAGUGUGACCUUUUUCCUUUUUUUCUUCUAGUUGCUGCCCAUAUUCUCAGCACUAUUUUCUUCCUUCUUUUCCUCAGUUUUUUCUUAAGAAAUGAAUAUUAUGAUGUUGCUGGGAUGCACUUUCAUUUUUGUUCCAUUACAUUGUGUUUUAUUCAUAUCCUAAACAAAUAAAUGUAAACAAGAAAAUCAAAUAAGACUUCAAAGAGUCUGUUCCUUUUAAAGCAAGGGAAAAAAAGGACAUGUUUGUUUACUUCCACAGCUGGGUAGAUUCAACUCCACCAAAAUUGGCAACAACUUCCCAUUGAAAAAUUCCUUCUAAGCUUGAAUGACAUAAAACUAGAUAUGUUCCAGCUAGAAUGGUACAAAAAAGAAAUCAAAAGAUGAGCACAAUGGGUUAUUAUGACAGCUUUAGAAACCAUCUUACAACACAUCCAUCAGAAUUUAGACUAUUCAUAGAAACAUUCUUAACAUGUAAAUCUACUAUUGCCAUGCACGUCAACAUAGAAUUUCUAAAAUGAUUGAAUAAAAUAAAUAAAACAAAAGAAACCCUUCCAAGAGAAUUUCAUAAUCUAAUGUCAAAUCUAUUACGAAGAUGAACAUGUAAAAUUUAAGGUUUAUAAUCAAAGUCGACUUGAAUCUGAGUUUUAAAACCAAUUUGCAGUUUUUAAGUUUGGAGACUAGAUCUCUUAAACCAAUUAAAUGUAAAAAACUAAAAAGAAAACUUCUUCAAAUUUUGAAAUGAGAAUGAGAAUGCAAUUCCUAACUAGUUUCUUCAUCAAAAAUCCCGAAAAAAAAAAAAAAAGAAGAGAGAGAGAGACCAUAGACGCCAGUGUUUGGGUUUAGAACCACCCAAGAGAGAGUAGUCCAAUAUAUGGGCUUAAGAAAAUCCUCAUGGGCCUAAGCUAAGACUAGGAACAAUCUUGUAUCCGUGGUUGGUUUAGUAUGAGCAUGUGUACUGCGAAGGAAGUAGCUGAGAAUUGCAAUGGAAUUUCCAGUACUGCUUCCUGAACGAACAAAUCGCAUACCCAAGAUUUGGUCGUCAACGCCAUGCUGGGUGAGAACCGGGGAAGCAUCUUCGCUCGUUGACGAGCUUUUGUAGUCCUUCUUUAACAAUUAUAAGGCAUCUGAAUUCCCUUCAUCCUCCCACACCAUUGUUUUUGGUCUUGUUCUUGUUGCUUUGUGACUACGCAUCUCCAUGGAAGGAAGGAGGAUGAACCAAGUUCCUUUGUAUGCAUCAAUUUUACUGUUUUUUUUUUCCUUUUUAAUCUUUGGAUCGAAUCAUUGCUUAGUUCUUGCUUAAUUUCUCCAUUUUAUGUUGGGUCUUUGAUUGCAGGUUUAGCUCUGCGCGAGAACUGGGAAAUUUAAUUGUGACCUCCAAUCUAAUCGACUCUGCUUUGACUAAAAUUCUUGAGCUUCAAAGAGACCAAACAGCCUUGCCUUCCCCCGUUCAAUACAGAGUUUUUUAUCCAUCUCCCAAGUGCACAAUUGUAGCUUUUGUCUCUUCACCUGACUGCACUCAAAACCCUCUUCCUGGACAAGGAGAUUUAGUUCCCUCUCCUCUCUUUGACUUCCUCUGCACCGAAGAAUACCCUUCCGUCUCCAUUAACGGAGCCGCAUUAACCCUCUUUACCUCUCUCUACGAUCAUCUCUCUGGACUAAUAGAUGAGGUCAAAAUCUGAUACUUGUUUUAAUUUACGUUAACUUUUCGUUAACAAUUGUGAGACACGUAUAUAUAUAUAUAUAUAUAUAUAUCUUGUGGAUAAAAGGAAAGUUUACAAGUGAGAAUAGUGGCAUUUUUCUGACAGAUUUCACACCGUUGCUUGUUUUGCACUUGACUGUGAUUGAAGGUCGAUUAAUCAUCACUGGGCACUCGAUGGGAGGAUCCGUUGCUUCUCUCUUCACCUUAUGCCUGCUAGAAGUCAUUAAUAUAUCAAAACCCAAAUGCCGCCCCAUUUGCAUCACAUUUGGUUCACCCCUCAUAGGCGACUUUGGCUUCCAACACUCCAAUUGGAAUUCUUUCUUCUUGCAUGUAGUGUCCAACCAAGAUCUAGUCCCCGGACUCUUCCUCCCAUCCGGCAGAUCUCCUCCCACAUCCUCCCAUUCACAAACUACUGGUUACAAGCCCUUUGGGACAUAUCUCUUGUGCUCUGAACUUGGUUGUGCUUGUUUUGACAACCCUGAUUUAAUUUUGGAAUUGCUGAAAGUCAUAUCAUCAGAGGUUGCCGGAGGAUUGCGGGAUGUUGAUUACAGGAAGAUUUUAAUAAACCUCAAGGAGAGGGCAAUCUUCAAGGGACUUCAGCAGGUGGGUGAAAGGUUUGCAGAUCCCUUGUCAGCUGGGAUCAUCAUGGACCUUGAGAUAAUUGGAUUUGAUCAAACAAAGGUAAACAGCUUUCUCCCAAUUAAUGAUGUAGCAUGGUUUACACUCAACUUCACCAAAACCUGCAACAACUGCCCUAUUUAGAUUUGCCUUCCGGUUCUUUGGGUUCUUCUAUAACUUCUCAUUUUUUAAAUCCAUGGCAGCUGUUGCGGCACAACAUUGAUAUCAACACUGUGAUAAGGAUACUGGGAGCGGAAGCCAGAAUCCUAGCCCACAAAAAUAAAGCUUCUGAUGCCAAGAAACUGAAUGACAUAAAAAUACACAUGGCCCAGCUAGAAUGGUAUAAGAAGAAAUCAAAAGAUCUGAACAAGGGUUACUACGACUGCUUCAAAAACCAGGGGUUAAAAAGGGACAUUAAAAUUGAACAGUAUAGGGGACACCUCACAAUAUACUGGAAAGACAUGGUUGCACAAGUACAGAGGAAGCCCCAGAAGGAAGGAGCAUCAUUUCGAACCAGUUGGCUCUAUCCAGGGACAACUUAUAGAAGAAUGGUUGAACCACUGGACAUUGCUGCCUUCUACAGAGAGGGUAGAACAGACUACAUAAACAAUGGAAGAUCUCCUCAUUACAAGCUGUUGCAGCAAUGGUAUGAGGAAGAUGUGAAGCCCCCAUCCAGAGAUAAGCUCGAUUCCAAGAAACUAAAGGUGUCUGGUAUCCUAACUGAGGAUUCUUUGUUUUGGGCACAUGUGGAGGAGGCUCUCUUGUCAUGCGAAUCGCUCAAGAGUGCAAACUCUACUCUUGAGCAGAGAAAAUCAUCAUGGGAUAAUCUGGUUAAGUUUGGGGAGUAUGUAAUGGAACAGAUUGGAAACUAUGCAGUGUCCCCUGAGAUUUUCUUGGGGGAAAGCAGCUUCAUGAAAUGGUGGGGAGUGUAUGAGGACUACAUAGAUGCUUCCAAUAAUUUCUAUGGGUCACCAUUGAUCAACUUUAUGAAGGACCGUAGUUAUAGACUGUAUGGUUAGAGGGCAAUCCAGUUUGUGUAUUGUGUUUAUUGUAUUGUGAGCAUUCAAUAGAUAAAACUAGAAAGAGCGUGACCUUUUUAUGACAACUUUAGAAACCAGGGGUUAAAAGAGACAUUACAAAUUGAAUUUUUUGAGAGGAAACCUCAAGAGUAUACUGGGAAGCCAUGGUGGAACAAGUAGAGAGGAAGCUUCGGAAGGAAGGAUCAAUGGUUGAACCACUUGACAUUGUUGCCUACUUCAGGGAGGGUGUAAGAAACAACAUAACCGAGGGAAGAUCUGAACAUUAAACAUUGUACAAUUAUUGUAAAUGUCUUAUACAUUACGUGUGAAAAUACCAAAAAAAAUUAUAUUCAACAUUUAUGUUUGUAUACAAGCAAUAUUUUGGAUAGUUUGAUAUAAAAAACAAAUGAAGAAAACGAAGAAAAACAUACAAAUAUAUUUACAAUGGACAAACUUAUACAAUUAGUGUAAAUGUCUUGUAUAUUUAGUACAAAAGUCUCGUACUUUGUAAAAAUAUAAAAAUAUAGUAUUUGACUUUUAUAUAUGUGUGAAAAUGUAAAAGGAAAAAGAAAAAUAGUUAGAGCAUUUGGUACCGUGAGUGAUGACUUCACCUAAAGAAAGGUUAAUGAAUAUUAUGGUCUCGAUGGAAGAGCGACUCCGGUAAAAUAUAUGGAUUAAAUUGAUGCUUUUCUUUUGACGAUGAAGUAGUUGAGUUAUGAAUACGAGGUUUUGCUAACAACAUUGAAGGCAAGGAUUCCCUAAUAUACUCCAAUUCAUAUUCAAUUUGUAGACCUUCAACUAACUACUCUUGCUAAUGAGCAUAUCCAAGUGAAUACAUAAGAUUAAUUAUUACAUAUGAUAAUUGAAACCCUGUUUAAAUAAAUAGUGACACAAAUAUAAAAAAUAUAUAUAUUUAAAAAUAAAUAAAUAAUAAUUUAGAGAAUUUCAUAACUUAGCAUCAAACCUAUUGUAGGAAAGAGUAUUAUACAAUGUAGGGUUUAGGAUCAAAGUUAACCUAAGAUCAAAUUUAAGUCUUAAGACCAAUUCACAUUCAAAACUAAGGUUUUAAAUUUCAAAAAUAUAUCUCUUAAACCAAUUAAAUGGAAAAAAGAAAAUUACAAAGAAAAUUUCUUCCUCAUCGGUUUCUUUUAUCUUGAAAACUAAAGGAAAUAUAUAUCAAUAUUUGAGAUGGAAAUUCAUAAUCUUAGAAACACAAAGAACAAAGAGAGUAUGAAGAGACCAUACCAUGAGAGAUUUUCCAAAAGGUUGGUAAACCAUGGUAAUCACCUUUGAGUUUUGCUGAGAAAAACAAACCUUAAUUUUUAUUUUUAUUUUUUUAUCAUUUUUUCUCUUGUGGUGUACAUUUAAGAAAAACAAAUCUUAAAAAAAAAAAAAAAAAAACCAAAUAAUGCCAGAAUUUGGGUUGAGAAACACCCAAAAGAUAGUGGCCCAAUACAUGUGCCUAAGAAAAUCUUCAUGAGCCGAUAAACAUAGUCACAAAACUAGGAACAGCCUUGUAGCCAUAGUUGGUGUAGUAUGAGCAAGUGGGGUAUGAAGUAGGUAGGUGAGUAUUGCAAUGAAAUUUCCAGCACUGCUUCCUGAAUUAAGAAAUCACAUACUCAAGUCUUAAUCGUUGUCAUCAUACCGUGUGAGAACCGAGGAAGAAUCUUUGCUCUUAGACUGGAUUUUGUAGUCUUUCUUUAACAAUUACAAGUUAUCUGAAUUCCCUUCAUCCUCCUAUAUAAUAUUGUUUUUGGUCUUGUUCUUGUUGCAUUGUGGCUAGGCAUCUCCAUGGGAGGAAGGAGGAUGAAUCAAGUUCCUUUGUAUGAAUCAAUUUCUCUGCUCUUUUUUUUUUCAAUCCUUGAAUCGAAUCAUUGCUUAGUUCUUGCUUUAAUUUCUCCAUUUUCUGUUGGGUCUUUGAUUGCAGGUUUAGCUCUGCAAGAAAACUGGGAAAUUUAAUUGUGACCUCCAAUCUAAUCGACUCUGCUUUGACUAAAAUUCUUGAGCUUCAAAGAGACCAAACAGCCUUGCCUUCCCCCGUUCAAUACAGAGUUUUUUAUCCAUCUCCCAAGUGCACAAUUGUAGCUUUUGUCUCUUCACCUGACUGCACUCAAAACCCUCUUCCUGGACAAGGAGAUUUAGUUCCCUCUCCUCUCUUUGACUUCCUCUGCACCGAAGAAUACAAGUCCGUCUCCAUUAACAGAGCUGCAUUAACCCUCUUUACCUCUCUCCACGAUCAUCUCUCUGGACUAAAAACUCAGGUCAAAAUAUGAUAGUUGUUUUUAUUUUCGUUUCCUUUUUGUUAACAAUUGUGAGACAUGAAACAGCUUGACCAUGAGAUCUCUCUCAUAGAGUCAAACUACCUGAAGAAGAAGAAGACGUUACACAUAUCCAUCUGCGCUGCAUCAUCGCAUUACCCAUUGAUCGGUUGUGAUUCAACUCUUAAUAGGAAGACAGUAGAACUGGUGUUGGUAUCUGUUUUUAGAUCAGCUUAUAUGUAUCUUGUUGCUAAAAAGGGAAAGUUUAGAAGUGAGAUUAAUGGGAUUAUUCUGACAUGGAUUUCAUAUGGUUACCUGUUUUGCAGUUGACUGUGAUUGAAGGUCGAUUAAUCAUCACUGGGUACUCGAUGGGAGGAUCCGUUGCUUCUCUCUUCACCUUAUGCCUGUUAGAAGUCAUCAAUUUAUCAAAACCCAAAUGCCGCCCCAUUUGUAUCACCUUUGGUUCACCCCUCAUAGGCGACUUUGGCCUCCAACACUCCAAUUGGAAUUCUUUCUUCUUGCAUGUAGUGUCCAACCAAGAUCUAGUCCCCGGACUCUUCCUCCCAUCCGA